rnacentral:rRNA from 1 species
AUUGAACGCUGGCGGCAUGCCUUACACAUGCAAGUCGAACGGCAGCACGGGAGCUUGCUCCUGGUGGCGAGUGGCGAACGGGUGAGUAAUACAUCGGAACGUACCCAGUAGUGGGGGAUAACGCACCGAAAGGUGCGCUAAUACCGCAUACGACCUACGGGUGAAAGCGGGGGACCGUAAGGCCUCGCGCUAUUGGAGCGGCCGAUGUCUGAUUAGCUAGUUGGUGAGGUAAAGGCUCACCAAGGCUUCGAUCAGUAGCUGGUCUGAGAGGACGAUCAGCCACACUGGGACUGAGACACGGCCCAGACUCCUACGGGAGGCAGCAGUGGGGAAUUUUGGACAAUGGGCGAAAGCCUGAUCCAGCAAUGCCGCGUGUGCGAAGAAGGCCUUCGGGUUGUAAAGCACUUUUGUCAGGGAAGAAAUCUUUUAGGCUAAUACCCUGGAAGGAUGACGGUACCUGAAGAAUAAGCACCGGCUAACUACGUGCCAGCAGCCGCAGUAA